AGGUGUGACCAACAUGCUGAGGGUCCAGAGGUGAAUCAGAGGAUGUACUGUUAGUGGGGGAGAUGGACAGAGUUGGAGGAAAACAUGAUGACCGGGACAGUGGCAACCAUCUUGCCACCUUGAGAGGACAAGCUGGAGCCUAGCACACUGAGAAUGGCGAGGCAGAGAGAUGAAAAGGUCCCAGGUCUCAGUGAUGUCAUUGUGCUGCUGAAUUAACUGAUCCUGAAGCCACCUACCACUGGACAUCCUGUGAUGUGAAAUAAUAAACCUGUUAUUGUUUAAGCCA